GGUUUCUUAGCUCAGUUGGUAGAGCAAUGGAUUGAAAAUCCAUGUGUCCCUGGUUCGAUUCCUGGAGAAACCACCU
rnacentral:tRNA from 1 species